rnacentral:rRNA from 1 species
UACAUGGGGUGCAAACGUUGCUCGGAAUUAUUGGGCGUAAAGCGCACGUAGGUGGUCUGUUAUGUCAGAUGUGAAAGCCCUCGGCUUAACUGAGGAAGUGCACCUGAAACUGGCAGGCUUGAGUACGAAAGAGGGUCGCGGAAUUCCCGGUGUAGAGGUGAAAUUCGUAGAUAUCGGGAGGAACACCAGUGGCGAAGGCGGCGACCUGGACGGACACUGACGCUGAGACGCGAAAGCGUGGGGAGCAAACAGG